rnacentral:rRNA from 1 species
AACGCCUUGAAAGAAAGGAGAAGGAAGGGAGGAAGAGGGAAGAAAAACGUAAAAAAUGUUCUCCAAAGCAUUUAUGACAACCUAAAUCAUAUACAACUUUCAACAACGUUGUUGCUGGCCCUUUCAGAGCAUGUGCACACUUGGCUAUUGUUUCUUAAACCACUUGUGCACCUUUUGUAGACUUUGGGUAAAGUUUUGAGUCGAGAGUGAUCUUGGCCCUUAUACUCCAAAGUCUAUGUCUUUUCAUAUCAUUUACUCUAUGUAUAAGAAUGUUUUCUAAGGCAUUUUUUCGAUGCCUUUAAAUCAUAUACAACUUUCAACAACGGAUCUCUUGGCUCUCGCAUCGAUGAAAAACGCAGCGAAAUGCGAUAAGUAAUGUGAAUUGCAGAAUUCAGUGAAUCAUCGAAUCUUUGAACGCACCUUGCGCUCCUUGGUAUUCCGAGGAGCAUGCCUGUUUGAGUGUUAUGAAAUUCUCAACCUUUGUUACUUUUUUGUUUCAAAGUGUUUGGAUGUGGGAGUUGCUGGCUUUUUGUGUUCAAAGAGUCAGCUCUUCUGAAAUACAUUAGUGGGACCCAUCGUUGAUUUAGCCCCUGGUGUGAUAGUUAUCUACGCCGUGGCUUAGCACGAUAUUGUGUGGUUCAGCUUUCUAACAGGACAAUUAACUGUCUUUGAUCAUUUUGACCUCAAAUCAGGUAGGACUACCCGCUGAACUUAAGCAUAUCAACUUAAGCAUAUCAAUGACGGGAGGAGAAUCAAUUAAUAAAUCUCAAAAUAUCCAA